rnacentral:rRNA from 1 species
UACGUAGGGUGCAAGCGUUGUCCGGAAUUAUUGGGCGUAAAGAGCUCGUAGGCGGUUUGUCGCGUCUGCUGUGAAAACUCGGGGCUUAACCCCGGGCCUGCAGUGGGUACGGGCAGACUAGAGUGCGGUAGGGGAGACUGGAAUUCCUGGUGUAGCGGUGAAAUGCGUAGAUAUCGGAAGGAACACCAGUGGCGAAGGCGGCUUCCUGGGCUAAUACUGACACUGAGGUGCGAAAGCGUGGGGAGCAAACAGG